rnacentral:tRNA from 4 species
GCGGAAGUGGCGAAAUUGGUAGACGCACCAGACUUAGGAUCUGACGCCGCAAGGCGUGGAGGUUCGAUUCCUCUCUUCCGCACCA